rnacentral:lncRNA from 1 species
UGUGCCUUCGUGAGUCACUUCGAGUGUAUGCCAAAUAUCAAAUGCGGUUUCACAAACCGAAACAUGAUUGAACUCAUUUUUAUCAAGUGCACAAAAUAAGGCAUUCAUAGCCUUUGCAUUAAGAGUGAAAGUCUUCUUCUUCAAUUCAUUCCAAUCGAUCAUUGGAAGAGAAGACUUCGAAAAUCCAUUUUCGACAAGAU